ACAAGAAGCUGACAUGAGCCCUUGUUUCCAGUAUGUGAGUCAUCAUUGCCACCAAUGGUCUGGGUCAUUGGCUGUGCACACACAUCCACAGACAGUACAACAACAGCCUCUAGUCCCUUGUUGCUGACCUUUGGGAAGCUGGGCAUGUAAGGCCAUACAUGAUCUACAGUGUACUUGUAGAGGUCAGAGGACAACUUGCAGGAGUCAUUUCUCUGCUUCCACAAUGUGAGUCCUGGGGAUCCAACUGAAGUCAUCAGAAGCAGUACUCGGGCUUCUAUUACA